UACUUUGCCGGCGAGCGGCGGACGGGUGAGUAAUGUCUGGGAAACUGCCUGAUGGAGGGGGAUAACUACUGGAAACGGUAGCUAAUACCGCAUGACCUCGAAAGAGCAAAGUGGGGGAUCUUCGGACCUCACGCCAUCGGAUGUGCCCAGAUGGGAUUAGCUAGUAGGUGAGGUAAUGGCUCACCUAGGCGACGAUCCCUAGCUGGUCUGAGAGGAUGACCAGCCACACUGGAACUGAGACACGGUCCAGACUCCUACGGGAGGCAGCAGUGGGGAAUAUUGCACAAUGGGCGCAAGCCUGAUGCAGCCAUGCCGCGUGUGUGAAGAAGGCCUUAGGGUUGUAAAGCACUUUCAGCGAGGAGGAAGGCAUCACACUUAAUACGUGUGGUGAUUGACGUUACUCGCAGAAGAAGCACCGGCUAACUCCGUGCCAGCAGCCGCGGUAAUACGGAGGGUGCAAGCGUUAAUCGGAAUUACUGGGCGUAAAGCGCACGCAGGCGGUUUGUUAAGUCAGAUGUGAAAUCCCCGCGCUUAACGUGGGAACUGCAUUUGAAACUGGCAAGCUAGAGUCUUGUAGAGGGGGGUAGAAUUCCAGGUGUAGCGGUGAAAUGCGUAGAGAUCUGGAGGAAUACCGGUGGCGAAGGC
rnacentral:rRNA from 1 species